rnacentral:rRNA from 1 species
GAUGAAUGCUGGCGGCGUGCUUAACACAUGCAAGUCGAACGAUGAAGUUCCUUCGGGAAUGGAUUAGUGGCGAACGGGUGAGGAACACGUGAGAAACCUGCCUCUCAUUUUGGGAUAACUCCGGGAAACCGGGGCUAACACCGAAUACUCCGUCUCGGCGGCAUCGCUGAGCCGGGAAAAAAUUUUGAUGAAAGAUGGUCUCGCAGCCUAUCAGCUAGUUGGUGAGGUAAUGGCUCACCAAGGCAACGACGGGUAGCCGGCCUGAGAGGGCGGCGGGCCACACUGGGACUGAGCCACGGCCCAGACGCCUACGGGAGGCAGCAGUGGGGAAUAUUGGGCAAUGGGCGCAAGCCUGACCCAGCGACGCCGCGUGAGGGAUGAAGGCCUUCGGGUUGUAAACCUCUUUCAGUAGGGAGGAAGCGAAAGUGACGGUACCUAAAGAAGAAGCACCGGCUAACUAUGUGCCAGCCGCCGCCGUAA